rnacentral:misc_RNA from 1 species
UGGCGUAGCCUCGUUUGGCGAUGGCGCGCAG